rnacentral:ncRNA from 1 species
UCGUAAACAUCGCCGGAUGCUUGCGACUCAGGAGGCCGACUGGCUAAAGUGUUAAUGAACAGUUCUUAGGCCAUAGCUGAACUGUUUGUUGGCACUUUUUUUGU